rnacentral:rRNA from 1 species
AUUGAACGCUGGCGGCAGGCCUAACACAUGCAAGUCGAACGAGUGGCGGACGGGUGAGUAAUGUCUGAGAAACUGCCUGAUGGAGGGGGAUAACUACUGGGAACGGUAGCUAAUACCGCAUACCAUCGGAUGUGCCCAGAUGGGAUUAGCUAGUAGGUGGGGUAAAGGCUCACCUAGGCGACGAUCCCUAGCGGGUCUGAGAGGAUGACCGGCAACACUGGAACUGGGACACGGUCCAGACUCCUACGGGAGGCAGCAGUGGGGAAUAUUGGAAAAUGGGGGAAAGCCUGAUGCAGCAAUGCGGCGGGGAGGAAGAAGGCCUUCGGGUUGUAAAGUACUUUCAGCGGGGAGGCGUUACCCGAAGAGGAAGCACCGGCUAACUCCGUGCCAGCAGCCGCGGUAAUUC